rfam:Triticum aestivum genome assembly, contig: Triticum_aestivum_CS42_TGACv1_scaffold_113820_2AS
ACGCAUCUGGUGUAGUGGUAUCAUAGUACCCUCCCACGAUACUAACCAGGGUUCGAUUCCCUGGAUGCGCA